UACGAAGGGGGCUAGCGUUGCUCGGAAUGAUUGGGCGUAAAGCGUGCGUAGGUGGUUCGUUAAGUCUGAUGUGAAAGCCCUGGGCUCAACCUGGGAAUGGCAUUGGAUACGGGCAGACUAGAGUGCGGUAGGGGAGACUGGAAUUCCUGGUGUAGCGGUGAAAUGCGCAGAUAUCAGGAGGAACACCGGUGGCGAAGGCGGGUCUCUGGGCCGUAACUGACGCUGGAGGAGCGAAAGCGUGGGGAGCGAACAGG
rnacentral:rRNA from 1 species